rnacentral:rRNA from 1 species
UACGUAGGGUGCAAGCGUUGUCCGGAAUUAUUGGGCGUAAAGAGCUCGUAGGCGGUCUGUCGCGUCGGAUGUGAAAAUCCAGGGCUCAACCCUGGACCUGCAUUCGAUACGGGCAGACUAGAGUUCGGUAGGGGAGACUGGAAUUCCUGGUGUAGCGGUGAAAUGCGCAGAUAUCAGGAGGAACACCGGUGGCGAAGGCGGCAUCCUGGACCAAUACUGACGCUGAGGAGCGAAAGCCAGGGGAGCAAACGGG